rnacentral:rRNA from 1 species
UACGUAGGGGGCAAGCGUUGUCCGGAUUUAUUGGGCGUAAAGAGCGUGUAGGCGGCCUGACAGGUCUGCUGUGAAAACUCGAGGCUCAACCUCGAGAUGUCGGCGGAAACCGUCUGGCUAGAGUCCGGAAGAGGAGAGUGGAAUUCCUGGUGUAGCGGUGAAAUGCGCAGAUAUCAGGAAGAACACCUAUGGCGAAGGCAGCUCUCUGGGACGGUACUGACGCUGAGACGCGAAAGCUAGGGUAGCAAACAGG